ensembl:snRNA
GAGUUGUAUGAAAGGAGAGAAGGUUAGCACUGCCUUUGAUAAGAAUGGAAAAGGUUCUAAUUCAUUACAAAAAUGAAUGAUAUGGAAAUAGGUAUCAAGUGAUAACACAUGCAUUACCUAGUGGAUUU